GAUGAACGCUGGCGGCGUGCCUAAUACAUGCAAGUCGAGCGAACAGACGAGGAGCUUGCUCCUCUGACGUUAGCGGCGGACGGGUGAGUAACACGUGGAUAACCUACCUAUAAGACUGGGAUAACUUCGGGAAACCGGAGCUAAUACCGGAUAAUAUAUUGAACCGCAUGGUUCAAUAGUGAAAGACGGUUUUGCUGUCACUUAUAGAUGGAUCAGCGCCGCAUUAGCUAGUUGGUAAGGUAACGGCUUACCAAGGCAGCGAUGCGUAGCCGACCUGAGCGGGUGAUUGGCCACACUGGAUCUGAGACACGGUCCAGACUCCGACGGUAGGAAGCAGUAGGGAAUCUUCCGCAAUGGGCGAAAGCCUAACGGUGCAACGCCGCGUGAAUGAUGAAGGUCUUCGGAUCGUUAAACUCUGUUAUUAGGAAAGAACAAAUGUGUAAGUAACUAUGCACGUCUUGACGGUACCUAAUCAGAAAGCCACGGCUAACUACGUG
rnacentral:rRNA from 1 species